rfam:New Mapoon virus strain CY1014 polyprotein gene, complete cds
AGAUGUUCACCUGCGUGAACUGAUUAGACAGAUCGACAUCAGAUAGUUUCUAUAACUCAGUGUGAACAA